CAGUUUAUAGCUUAAAGAAAGCUCCUCCCUUACACCGAGAAGUUGUCCGUGGAACCCAGACUAAACUGA
rnacentral:tRNA from 1 species